CCAAUAGCGUAUAUUAAAGUUGCUGCAGUUAAAAAGCUCGUAGUUGAAUUUCGGGACCAAUAUGUCGGUCGUGCCUCGGUACGUACUGGCAUCGUUGGUUUCUCCCUUCUGACGAACCAUGAUGUCAUUUAUUUGGUGUCGUGGGGAAUCAGGACUGUUACUUUGAAAAAAUUAGAGUGUUUAAAGCAGGCUCGCGCUUGAAUACAUUAGCAUGGAAUAAUGAAAUAGGACGUUUGAUUCUAUUUUGUUGGUUUCUAGGAUCGACGUAAUGAUUAAUAGGGAUAGUUGGGGGCAUUAGUAUUCAAUUGUCAGAGGUGAAAUUCUUGGAUUUAUUGAAGACUAACUACUGCGAAAGCAUUUGCCAAGGAUGUUUUCAUUAAUCAAGAACGAAAGUUAGGGGAUCGAAGACGAUCAGAUACCGUCGUAGUCUUAACCAUAAACUAUGCCGACUAGGGAUCGGAUGAUGUUGAUUUUUUAAUGACUCAUUCGGCGCCUUACG
rnacentral:rRNA from 1 species